AUGAUCAACAAUUCUGGGGAGUUUCAGUCUGCGCCGAAAUAUGCCCGCUCUUUCAGUGUGAGUCCCACCCUUACCACUUCCCCCCUCCAAGAGAUCCCUUCAUUGCAAGAGCUGGAUGUGUCACCGGGUGAUGUGUACUCAAAUGGCACGAUCAUCUCUGACUUCACCCACCUGCUGGAUCCAAAACCUGGGCCUAGCAGAGAGCUAGUGACAGAAAGCUUUCCCGCAACUCAAACCACAUUUUUAUCUCCCGCCUCCCCUACUCUGCCCUCCAUGGAGCUGGCAUUGAAUUUGCUAGAUGAACCAGCUGCCCAGGAGUCUGAGGAAAUACCCUCUGAAAGUAAUGAUGUGUCUGAUCCACUGGCACUAAUUGACUCCAGUUUAGCAGUGAUCCGCUCAUGCAUUCCACCCUCACCUGACCUGGACAAUUUCAGCAAGAUUCUUAGUCCUGGCUGCCACAUCUCUGCUGUUAAAGACUCUGACACAAAAACCGAGAGCAAACAGAGAAGCCAGAAUGAAGCCGAUGCGCUACCUUACGCCAACACAGUUACACAGCAGCAGAGCCUGCAACAAAAUGCAGACCCGGAGCAGGAGCGCUACGAUAGUGGAGAGUAUUCAGAUAUCUUACCAUCCCUUCUGCAGCUGGUGCAGGAAGCAUCCAGCCUCUCCUUCAGUAACACUACACUGCCUUUAGAGCUCUCUUUUGUCAUAUAA
rnacentral:lncRNA from 12 species